rnacentral:tRNA from 1 species
CGACGAUCCGGGUGGUGGACGAAGUUCCCGGCGACCCGGAGCGUCGCCGAACGUGGUGGUGCCCGCACUGCCAGCCGGGUCCCGGACCGGAUCGCUGA